UUUAUCAUUGACUCUAACGAUCAGUUGUUUCAAAUGUAAAUAUCGCCAGACGUGUUUACUCUAUAUAUACGAUGUGUUAUAUACCUGUCCGUUGAAAACUCGGCAGUAGAAACAAAACGCUAUAUCAGAUGACGUUGAAUACUCAUGCACGAUGAGAGAAAUUUUCGAUUAAAUCUGUCUUUUGGAUAAUCUACGUCGGUUGGCUGGCAUGGUCCUUUUUUAUAACGUGGUCUCUGGCUGCUCUUCCAGUGGGCAA
rnacentral:lncRNA from 1 species